GAUGAAGAACGUAGCGAAAUGCGAUAAGUAAUGCGAAUUGCAGAAUUCAGUGAAUCAUCGAGUUUUUGAACGCAUAUUGCGCCCUCUGGUAUUCCGGGGGGCAUGCCUGUUCGAGCGUCAUUAAAUAACCCUCAAGCAUAGCUUGGUGUUGGGCUUUUUUACGUCCUUGACUGGGAUGGGCCUAAAAAUUAGUGGCGAUGGCUUUUUUACUUUCAAGCGUAGUAAAUCUCGUCUUGCUAAAGAGGAAAAAGAUUUUUUUUCUGCCAAAAAUUUUAACAUUUAAAGUUGACCUCGGAUCAGGUAGGAUUACCCGCUGAACUUAAGCAUAUCAAUAAGCGGAGGA
rnacentral:misc_RNA from 1 species